rnacentral:rRNA from 1 species
CUACGGGAGGCACCAGUGGGGAAUAUUGCACAAUGGGCGCAAGCCUGAUGCAGCCAUGCCGCGUGUAUGAAGAAGGCCUUCGGGUUGUAAAGUACUUUCAGCGGGGAGGAAGGGAGUAAAGUUAAUACCUUUGCUCAUUGACGUUACCCGCAGAAGAAGCACCGGCUAACUCCGUGCCAGCAGCCGCGGUAAUACGGAGGGUGCAAGCGUUAAUCGGAAUUACUGGGCGUAAAGCGCACGCAGGCGGUUUGUUAAGUCAGAUGUGAAAUCCCCGGGCUCAACCUGGGAACUGCAUCUGAUACUGGCAAGCUGGAGUCUCGUAGAGGGGGGUAGAAUUCCAGGUGUAGCGGUGAAAUGCGUAGAGAUCUGGAGGAAUACUGGUGGCGAAGGCGGCCCCCUGGACGAAGACUGACGCUCAGGUGCGAAAGCGUGGGGAGCAAACAGGAUUAGAUACCCUAGUAGUC